rnacentral:sRNA from 1 species
GCUGGGCACAUGGGCGCAUGCCUGUAAUUCCAGUGGCUCAGGAGGCUGAGGCAGGAGGAUCACAAGUUUUAAGCCAGCCUCAGUAACUUAUCAAGGCCUUAAGCAAUGUAGCAAGACCCUGUCUCAA